rnacentral:rRNA from 1 species
GACGAACGCUGGCGGCGUGCUUAACACAUGCAAGUCGAACGGAAAGGCCUUUUCGGAGGUACUCGAGUGGCGAACGGGUGAGUAACACGUGGGUGAUCUGCCCUGCACUCUGGGAUAAGCCUGGGAAACUGGGUCUAAUACCGGAUAGGACCGCACUUUAGUGUGUGUGGUGGAAAGUUUUUUCGGUGUAGGAUGAGCCCGCGGCCUAUCAGCUUGUUGGUGGGGUAAUGGCCUACCAAGGCGGCGACGGGUAGCCGGACUGAGAGGUUGGUCGGCCACAUUGGGACUGAGAUACGGCACAGACUCCUACGGGAGGCAGCAGUGGGGAAGAUUGCACAAUGGGCGCAAGCCUGAUGCAGCGACGCCGCGUGGGGGAUGACGGCCUUCGGGUUGUAAACUACUUUCGCCAGGGACGAAGCGUUUUGUGACGGUACCUGGAGAAGAAGCACCGGCUAACUACGUG